rnacentral:rRNA from 1 species
GGCGGAAUGCUUUACACAUGCAAGUCGAGCGGCAGCGCGGGGCAACCUGGCGGCGAGCGGCGAACGGGUGAGUAACAUAUCGGAACGUAUCCAUAAGUGGGGGACAACCUAGCGAAAGUUAGGCUAAUACCGCAUACGCUCGAGAGAGGAAAGUGGGGGAUCGCAAGACCUCACGCUUUAGGAGCGGCCGAUAUCAGAUUAGCUAGAUGGUGAGGUAAAGGCUUACCAUGGCGACGAUCUGUAGCUGGUCUGAGAGGAUGAUCAGCCACACUGGGACUGAGACACGGCCCAGACUCCUACGGGAGGCAGCAGUGGGGAAUUUUGGACAAUGGGGGCAACCCUGAUCCAGCCAUUCCGCGUGAGUGAAGAAGGCCUUCGGGUUGUAAAGCUCUUUUGUUCGGGACGAAACGGUUUUGGCGAAUACCCAAGACUACUGACGGUACCGGAAGAAUAAGCACCGGCUAACUACGUGCCAGCAGCCGCGGUAAUACGUAGGGUGCGAGCGUUAAUCCGAAUUACUGGGCGU